rnacentral:rRNA from 1 species
AUUGAACGCUGGCGGCAGGCCUAACACAUGCAAGUCGAGCGGAUGAAGGGAGCUUGCUCCUGGAUUCAGCGGCGGACGGGUGAGUAAUGCCUAGGAAUCUGCCUGGUAGUGGGGGCUAACGUCCGGAAACGGGCGCUCAUACCGCAUACGUCCUGAGGGAGAAAGUGGGGGUUCUUCGGACCUCACGCUAUCAGAUGAGCCUAGGUCGGAUUAGCUAGUUGGUGGGGUAAAGGCCUACCAAGGCGACGAUCCGUAACUGGUCUGAGAGGAUGAUCAGUCACACUGGAAGUGGGACACGGUCCAGACUACUACGGGAGGGAGCAGAGGGGAAUAGUAGACAAUGGGGGAAAGCAUGAUCCAGUCAGGGCGCGUGUGUGAAGAAGGUCUUCGGAUAGUAAAGCACGUUAAGGGGGGAGGAAGGGCAGUAAGUUAAUACCUAGCUGUAGUGACGUUACCAACAGAAUAAGCACCGGCUAACUACGUG